GACGAACGCUGGCGGCGUGCCUAAUACAUGCAAGUCGAACGCAGUGGGGACGGUUGAGUAACACGUGGGUAACCUCCCCAUCACAGGGGAUAACAAUUGGAAACAGGUGCUAUACCGGUAAUGAUGGAUGGUCCCGCGGUGCAUUAGCUAGUUGGUGAGGUAACGGCUCACCAAGGCCACGAUGCAUAGCCGGCCUGAGAGGAUGAUCAGCCACACUGGGACUGAGACACGGCCCAGACUCCUACGGGAGGCAGCAGUGGGGAAUAUUCGACAAUGGGCGAAAGGCUGACCGAGCAACGCCGCGUGCGUGAAGAAGGUUGUCGGUUCGUAAAGCUCUGUUGUUAGAGAAGCGGUAUCUACACAGAAAGCAACGGCUAACUCCGUGCCAGCAGCCGCGGUAAUAC
rnacentral:rRNA from 1 species